CCUAGAGUUGUAGGCUUUGCCUGCUAUCUCUUACCCAUGUCUUUUGAGUACCUUCGUUUCCUCGGCGGGUCCGCCCGCCGAUUGGACAAUUUAAAACCAUUUGCAGUUGCGAUCAGCGUCUGAAAAAACUUAAUAGUUA
rnacentral:misc_RNA from 1 species